rnacentral:tRNA from 1 species
GUCCAGGGGCGGGAAUCGAACCCACAACGUUCCGCUUACCGGGCAGAUUCCAUGUCCACUAGGCUACCCUGGA